GUAGCUAUGUGUGGACGGGAUAAGUGCUGAAAGCAUCUAAGCAUGAAGCCCCCCUCAAGAUGAGAUUUCCCAUAGCGCAAGCUAGUAAGAUCCCUGAAAGAUGAUCAGGUUGAUAGGUCAGAGGUGGAAGCACGGCGACGUGUGUAGCUGACUGAUACUAAUCGAUCGAGGACUUAACCAAAA
rnacentral:rRNA from 1 species